UCCAGCAGCUUCAUGUCCCUCUUGUGUUGGUGCCCCAGAGCUGGAUCAGGACUGCAGGGGGGUCUCACAAAGAAGGAGCAUGCGACCCUCAGCCCCUCUCCACUGCUGCUGCUCCCUGGGCUGGCAGGGUGAUUGUAUUUGCUUUAACGAUCCUUCAGCCAAGCUGCCACCAAACACAGCACAAAUCUUAGGGGUGAGAACCACUUGGGGUUCAGCCACGCUGUGAAAGGCUGGAGCCUUCCCCCUUUUCCAGCCUGGUAAAUAAUGCAUGAUCUCUCACUUGUAUGCUUACACAACCCCUACGGUGAUAAAUAUCAAUGGAAGGAAAUGAAAGUGGAAAGAAACGUUAUCUUUCUCAGUAAUGCAACCAUUUACAAUCUGUGUUACGAUCCUCCUGCUCUUAGGAGUGAGCAGCAGUCAGAGGGAUGUUUCUAUUAGCAGAGCAGAAUGCAACAAAUCACAGGCUGUAACUUUCCAGUGACGCAGAAAAGCAGUCUUAAAACCAUAUAAAGGAAGGAAAAUAAAAAUAAUAUACAGAGAUCACGUCCUUUUUUUAAUCACUCCAAAGGAAAGUACUUAUUUCCAGGUGCCUGAGAAGCAGGUAUUAAGGACUUUUUUUUUUCUAGGGUCAUAAAACUAAGCACUAGACACCUAAUCCGGGGAUCUUGCCUUUGGUGCUUAAGUAUGGGGCUGGAUGCCUGAAGAAAUUGGCCCAAGUGCUGAAAGGUCUUGAAAAUAUUUUGUUUCAAAGCCUGUGUGUAGCCAGUUAGUUAAAACCAACUUCUAACAUUAGGUUUCUCAGGGCAUGUUUGCACCAGCCAAAGCAGAUGCAUUUAGAGCAUUUCAGGAGAAGUCUGUGAAAAGCAGGAGCUCGUGUGCCUUUGAUCAGUGCUGCAUCCAGAUCCUUUGCUGUUCUUUGGGUUGUGAGGAGCUUCAUCAGAGGAUGGGGAUAAGCAUCCUGCACCUCCUGCCAUCCAGGUAAGCUUUGCCACUUCUCAAGAGGAUGUCGGGAAAUAACUCUGGCUGUUUGGGGAAGGUGGGAGCAUCCCAGCCUACCUGCCCCUCCCUCCCAUCACUAGUCCAGCAUCCUGCAGCAGCUCGGCAGAGCUUCCAAGCUUUGCAGUGCUAGGAUCUGCACCCGUAGUGAAAGGUUUUGUAUCCUUGUGUGGUAGGUGUGCGGAUUCCCCGUGUCCUGACAGGAACUCUCAUUCUCUUUCUAUGAUAGCUCAGUGUGUACAAAAGGGAAAGCACAUCUUGAGUUUCAUGCAGCCAGGAGCGGGUGGGUGCUCAUCCAGUGGUGCUGCAGCGGAUGCAGUAUCAGUACAUCCACGUGUAGAACAUGAGCAGGAAGGUGCUUUAGAAGUAAAAGCAAAAGGUGUAAUUGUAAAUAAAGGUUGUCUCUGGUACCUCCUUUACCCUUAAACUGAUUUCUAGUCACAAGCACUGCUUUGUGAGCUGAGCUGGGUGUGGAAGGGGCUGCAGAUGCUGUGCUGGGCAGGAGGAAGUCUCCCAGCUCAUCAGGUGUGUGUCAGCUCAGUCCUCAGGCUGCUGCUCUGGGGCUGCCCAGACGCGUUGGCUUGUGACUGUCUCACUUCUGUCUCUGCAGCACAACGAUGCUCCCUGGGGCUGGCUCCUGCUCCAGCCUGCCACUACCCAAGAACAGGCACUGGGGCAUGGUCUGUCAGUGAUGGGAAGCUGUGGCUGUGUCUAUCAGACAGCAGAUGACAGGUCUUUUCGGUGUCAAGAUAGAAACCUGUAAAAUACAUGGAGCAUCUCAAAGCGGUGGCCUGCCCGUGGCGGGGAAUGGUCAAUCCUCAGCAGAGCCAAAGUUUCCAUCAGCUGAACUCUUAUGUCCCAGACUGAAUUCCAAAUACUCUCUGGAUGAUUCUCAGCAGCUCCACUUUCUGAAAAUGCCUGAUUCAAGGAUGAAAAUUGUCCUUCGAGUUAUGAGAAAGAAACACAACCCAGCACUGCCCUUCCUCAAGUAACCUGCAAACAAUUGCAGAAGCAUUGCUGCAUUUUGCUUCACAAGUGGUGUACUUGUACUCAUUGCCACACGUAUUGAGAGAAGUUUCUUUGUAAGAAGUAAGUGACAUAUAAUAAGUAACUCCUCUCUGAGCUUGCAGGAACCUCAGCAUCUUCCAUGGCAGCAGAGCCAAGUAGUGACAUCCUGUUCACCUGCGUUCUCACCAAGGAAUUUUACGGAACUCCUUGACCACGAGGUGACUCUGUGGCUCUGUGAUGGAGGGACGAUAACCAGAUCCCUUUUGGUCCCACUGCUCUGGGCUUCUCAUGGUCAGCCAUAAGGGUGAGAAAAGGUGCAAGAAGAAGAGAGUUUGGGAUAGACAAGGAAUUUUUUCCUAGCACCAUCCAGGGCCAUCUUGAUCCUCUAGAACUGGGUGUUCAUCCAAUACCCGGUUGGCUGGGUUAAAAAGUCUGGUGUGGUAUGCAAAAGCAAGUGAAGGGCACUGGGUUAUAGCUCAAACCACAGUCUACCAUGGGAGUUCAUUUGUCAAUAGUGGGUCACAUGCUGCUUGCUUCCUUAUUUUGAGCUGUUCCUUACUCUGCAGUUGAGUUCAUUGAUUUCAUCAGGGCUACUCACACUGUUAUGUACAAACUGUUGUAAGUAAGGAUAAAACAAUUGUACCCUAAUCCCCCAACUGUGUUUCAGACCUCUUUGUCCAUCCCCUAAAAUUUUGAUGUCAUCUAAUCAGGCUGAAAAAAUGAAUUGUGUAAAAAAUCUUGGACUUAGCUAUAAGACUUAUAUAUAUAUAAAAAAUAUAAGUAUAUAUAUAAAAUAACUAUGAAACUAUCUCUCAAAAUGCUGCAGACUCACUUUUCAAUAUGCAAUUUUCAUUCUAUUGAAUUUUUUGACAUAUGGUUAUGUAAAGCAUCUAAUAGCAAACUCUAUCCAUUUCCACCUUCCAGAAGGCAGUAACUUCAGGAGUUAAUGUGAGAUUAUUUUUAGCAUGUAUUCAAGUUUAUUCAUGCUGAAAGGUGGUACUUAUCUUUUGUAAUUUUAGAGUAGUUAUUUGAAUAAAAACAUGAGUGUGGUUCUAUUUUAACUGCCAUGUGACAUUUGGGAGCUAGUUAAAACCUCACCCAAGAUGCAAAAAUCUCAACAUUUUUAAUUUGCAACGUCUCAGUGGUACACAAAAUACCUGUACAUGUGUUUGGACCUAUGUCUGUAAAUGCAUAAGAUAUGAGUAAUCUCCUUUAUGCUAAGAGAAUAUUAUACCAUAAACAAUGAAAACAUCCAUCGGCCAGAAUAAAGUGCAAUUUUCAGUGUU